UCGGGUGAGUAAAGCAUAGGAAUCUGCCCUAGAGUGGGGGAUAACCCGGGGAAACCCGGGCUAAUACCGCAUACUCUCUACGGAGCAAAGUGGGGGACCUUCGGGCCUCACGCUUUAGGAGGAGCCUAUGUCGGAUUAGCUAGUUGGUAGGGUAAAGGCCUACCAAGGCGACGAUCCGUAGCUGGUCUGAGAGGACGAUCAGCCACACUGGGACUGAGACACGGCCCAGACUCCUACGGGAGGCAGCAGUGGGGAAUAUUGGACAAUGGGCGCAAGCCUGAUCCAGCAAUGCCGCGUGUGUGAAGAAGGCCUUCGGGUUGUAAAGCACUUUUGUUGAAGAAGAAAUGGCUAGUUUUAAUACAACUAGCAGUUGACGGUAUUCGGCGAAUAAGCACCGGCUAACUCUGUGCCAGCAGCCGCGGUAAGACAGAGGGUGCAAGCGUUAAUCGGAAUUACUGGGCGUAAAGAGCUCGUAGGCGGUUGAAUAAGUUGGAUGUAAAAGCCCUAGGCUUAACCUGGGAAUGCCAUUCAAGACUGUUCAACUCGAGUUAGGUAGAGGAAAGUGGAAUUUCCGGUGU
rnacentral:rRNA from 1 species